UCCAGAGUCACUGACAUUAGAUACCCGCGUAGUCCAGGGUGUAAACGCUGCAGACUUGGUGUUGGAAGCCCUUUGGGGGCAUUCAGUGCCGGAGAGAAGUUGUUAAGUCUGCUACUUGGGGAGUACGUCCGCAAGGAUGAAACUUAAAGGAAUUGGCGGGGGAGCACCGCAACGGGAGGAGCGUGCGGUUUAAUUGGAUUCAACACCGUAAAACUCACCAGGGAAGACUGUUACAUGAAGGCCGAGAUGAAGACUCUGCUAGAUUUUCAG
rnacentral:rRNA from 1 species